AACAUUCUGAAUAUAACUAACUUCCUUCCUUCCUGCCUUCCUCCCUCCCUGCCUUCCCUUCCUUCCUGCCUUCCUUCUUCCUUCCUCCCUUUUUUCUUUUCUCCCUUCCUUCCUUCUUAAUAUGUUUUUGGCCUUUUCUUUAUAUAUGUGGCCUAGCAAUAUCCUGUGUUUGGAAAAGUAUAAACCUAAGGCAUCACCUUUACAGAAAAUAUCUUCCACGGAAACAUCUAAAGGCAAAAAUCCUUCAAAUUCAAAUUUAUCCAAUCAUUUCUUCUGCUUACUACCAUCCUAAAUCAUUUUUCUUUAGUAAGAUCUAUUAGUGUGAAGCUAUUAAGCUAUUAAUGUAUGUAUCAUAUUAAUGUAUUAAGACAUUAAGGCCACAGAUCAGCCCUGGGGUUCAGAGGGAUCCUGACAGCUACUCCUCAAGAUCCUCUCUGUUGUGAUUCAUCCCCCCGGGGCCCUACAGUUUCUCCUUCCUGACUCUUACAUUUCUUUGGAUGGCAUCAUUAUUUACCUGUCUCCUCCCAUAGUUAGGUGCCAAGCACUGUGGAUUCUGCCUCUCAGUGUCCAGACACCCAUUUUCCUUCCCACUGUUCCUUCCCCAUGGAGAAGCCUGUGGCUGGCUGACAGCAGAGAGAGAUGCUCAACUUGGAGAAGGUGUUACCUGGGCCAGGUGGGGAAGGUUUGUUUGCAGAGCAAAGAAGUGAAGGAAGUAUUAACCCUUUGCAUGGCCUCCUGAGAAUCCGACAAGACGUAAAUAGCCAAGAAUAUCUGUGAAACUUCAUCACUGAGUUACAAUAUUUAUCACUGCAAGUGUGUUGUUCAUUGACACUAUAAAGCCAUGUGGAAUUAAGCAGCCUUGAAACACAAAAUGGAGAAAGGCUAAGAGCUGAGAAUUGUUGCCUUCAGGGAAAUACAAUCAAUGUCAAGCAAACAACCACCCCAAAAUGGUUAGCUUUAUCAGCAUUCAGGCCUACAGUGAACGCAAAUGUUCCAGAUCUGAGUUUCAAUUUUUAAAGAAUAAACAUAUGCAAAUGACCAUUAGUCUUAGUAGUUUUAGGGCUCAGAAUGAUCUUAUCUUGUUAACAUUCAGGGCAACUGCUUAUACCCAUUUGAAUGUCAUUUAGAGGGCUAGGAAAGACUGCUUCAACAUUUGAUGACUAAAUGGCAGGGCUCAGCCACAAUGCUCACUCCGAGAAAUGAGAAAUAGACACACCAGUAUGCUAGAUGCUGAUGCAGUUCAGGAAAUGCUACCCCAAAAUAUGGCCCCUCAGCAUACUGAGUAUUUUAAGCAGAAGGCAAUUAAGAAAACCACAAAAACAGAAAGGUCCCUCUGACCUUCUCCCACCCUCUCUCUCUUGAAGAUCCUCAUGUGACAGGUGACCUGCCAUAUAAUCAGAAGGAAGAAAUGUUACACAGAGAGGCUGAGAAGAAUCUGAGGACUUGCUAAGUUUUCCCCAGUUUAUUACCAUUAGAUCAUAUGCCUUUUUUGUUCAAUCAUACUUCUAUACAACUGUCCAUCAUUCAUUAAACCUAACCACAAAAGUAGUUUUCACUCGGUUUUUGAGUGAAGGCUCCUGUGUCACAUAAAACUUACAUUAAAUAAAUUUGUUCCACUUUUCUUUUGUUAAUCUGUCUUUUGUUAUAGGAAUGUCAGCCAUUAACCUCACAGUAGGUGAUGAAAAGAUAUUACUUUUUCUCCCCUAUACUACCCAAGCCAGCCACCUCAAGAAAGAACAGUUCAUGUGCAGGUGACCAUGUAGUUCAAGUCAUCAUUAAAUCCAAAGCUGAGCAGCCGUGAUGCUAUUGGUGGAAUUGCCCUUGACCAAGAGAAAUCCAUCUUGAUUGUCUCAAUAAUCGGCUCAAGGACCACUGAUGAUGAGGUCCUAAAUUUAAUUCCUAAAAAACCACUAAAGUUAUAGAGGCAAAAUGAGAAAGCAUAGCUCACAAAUACCUUGUGACCAAUGACUUGCCUAUUCAACGUGAAAAAGAUGAGGAUGAAGACCUUUAUUAUGAUCCACUUCCAAGUAAUGAACACACUGGAGAAAGUCAGACAGUCAAAACAAUGUCCCAGACUCCGUGAAGUUCCUGGGUAGAGAAGGAGACAGACAUAUACCAUACCUAAUAAUUGGAUGUCCGAGAGAAUGAGAGAAUGGCAGAAAGAACUUUAGAGCAUGGGUAUGAUGGCUAGAGCUUGAGCAGCCAUUGUGGACAUCAGAUGAACUUGAAAGUGAAAACUAUGAGCUGAAUACGACAAAGCAAACAGAUAGAAAACUGGAUUCAUUAUGACAUUGCAAAGCUGCCAGACCAGCUCUAGUCUGCUUCCCCCUAAUCUUCCUUACUAAGAGAGAGAAAUAAACUUCCAUCUUCUUCAAGCCACUG
rnacentral:lncRNA from 1 species